AGCAUGUGCACGCCUUGUCAUCUUUAUAUCUCCACCUGUGCAUCUUUUGUAGACCCUUUCAGGGUCUAUGUUGCUUCAUUUACCCCAAUGUAUGUCAAUAGAAUGUUGUGCCUAUUAUAAUGUAUACAACUUUCAGCAACGGAUCUCUUGGCUCUCGCAUCGAUGAAGAACGCAGCGAAAUGCGAUAAGUAAUGUGAAUUGCAGAAUUCAGUGAAUCAUCGAAUCUUUGAACGCACCUUGCGCUCCUUGGUAUUCCGAGGAGCAUGCCUGUUUGAGUGUCAUUAAUACAUAUAUCAACCUUCCCUUUUGGUGAAUGGUUUGGAUGUGGGGGUUUGCUGGCCUCUAAAGAGUUCAGCUCCCCUGAAAUGGAUUAGCGGAACAACCUGGUUCAUUGGUGUGAUAAAUAUACUAUGCCGUUGAAUGUGAGGGGCAGUUCAGCUUUCUAACAGUCCU
rnacentral:rRNA from 1 species